ensembl:lncRNA
CUCCUGGCGCAGGGUUGCCUACACCCUUCAGUCUGCGGGGGAAAAGGCCAAGCACCAUAGAAGGAGUCGACCCACCCUUGAAGAGGCCCGUUUGAUCAGCUUUGACCCAAGCACACACCCGUGAGAACGUCACCACCUUCCAGGACGGCAGUCGCUUCCUCUGUCCCCAGAAGUGUCCUUUGCCUCUUUGGGAACGACCUGUCCCAAGCCUGCAGCAGCUGCAGGCCUGCUCUCAGUCACCACAGAUCCAUUUGCAUUUUCUAGAAUUUUACGUAAAUGGUAUCGUGCGCUGUGUACUUUUUUGGUCUGGCUUCUUUCACUCAGCUUUUUGAGUGAAAUGUUUUGAGAUUCCUCCACGUUGUAGUUCGACCCAGUCAUUGGCUCCAUCUUGUCGCCGAGCAGUCGUCCUGGUUUGGGUGAGCCUGUCUGCUCCUCCAUCCCCCACUGGGGGCCACUGGGAGGCUUCUGGUUUGUGAUCCUUACAAACGGAGCUGCUGGAACAGGGUCAGAUCCACCUUCAGAGACACGCGUGUGAGAGGAGGCCACGCUGGAGACACGCGUGUGAGGGGAGGCCACGCUGGAGACACGCGUGUGAGAAGAGGAGGCCGCGUGUGAGAGGAGGCCGCGCUGGAGACACGCGUGUGAGGGGAAGCCGUGCUGCAGAUGCGCGUGUGAGAGGAGGCCACGCUGGAGACACGCGUGUGAGAAGAGGAGGCUGUGUGUGAGAGGAGGCCACGCUGCAGACACGCGUGUGAGAAGAGGCCGCGUGUGAGAGGAGGCCAUGCUGGAGACACGCGUGUGAGGGGAAGCCGUGCUGCAGAUGCGCGUGUGAGGGGAGGCCGUGCUGCAGACACGCGUGUGAGAGGAAGCUGCGCUGGCCUCCUGUCCCCUCACCCCGGACUCUGUGUGCGCUGCCUUCAUACCUUACAGACCCUCACUAACUACAGGGUUAUUAUUGUUCUCUAGUUAUCUUUUAAAGAGCCUUCAAUAAAAU